UGUCCAGUAGUUCAGCGGUAGAAUACCGGUCUGUUAAACCGUAGGUCGUUGGUUCGAACCAACCUGGACAGUCA
rnacentral:tRNA from 1 species